UACAGAGGGUGCAAGCGUUAAUCGGAAUUACUGGGCGUAAAGCGAGCGUAGUCGGUUAUUUAAGUCGGAUGUGAAAUCCCCGGGCUCAACCUGGGAAUUGCAUUCGAUACUGGAUAGCUAGAGUUCGGCAGAGGGAAGCGGAAUUUCUGGUGUAGCGGUGAAAUGCGUAGAUAUCAGAAGGAACAUCAGUGGCGAAGGCGACUUACUGGACACAUAUUGACGCUGAGGUGCGAAAGCGUGGGGAGCAAACAGG
rnacentral:rRNA from 1 species